AAACUCAUCAAACUCAUCGAAAAGAGAGACAGAGAGACCCGAAAGAGAGAGGGAGAGCAACGCAAAGUUAAGCUAUCCCAUUUCCGAUCUCAAGUGAAUUGAGUUUGAUUUUACAUGUUAAAGAUCUUUGUUUCCUCUUCACCUCAGAAUGAAAUUCCUUUCUGAUUUUCAUCUACUGUUAUGAGCUCUGGAAUACCAACUUAGUUCGACCCGUUCCAAUUUCCGGUUGAGUUUCACAUUGAAGCUAGCUGAUUGUAUUGUUGAUAUAUCAACUUUGGAAAGUCCGGAAAAAUUAUUCCUUCAACAAUAACCUAUUUCCAGGUUGCUAGAUUACUGAGAAAGGAAGAACAAGAAGACAGCUUUCAGCAGGAUAACUGCACUUCAUUUUCAGAACGUCUUUACAAUCAUCGGCAUUUUACAAUAACAACCUCUUGGACAUCAAGAUUCAGCCGCCAAGUGACAAAUGAAUCAGACUCCUAAAAGGAAAACCAGAAGGUUCCAAUUAAGCCGCUAGGAGGCAGUUUCUUUGUUCGCAUUUCGUGAUCUUUUCCUUCUACUUGCUUUAAGGGAUUCUGCAAUUUGCUGAGUUUGAUUGGGUUUGGUCAAUUUGAAACUUCGAGCUCACCAUCGCAAGGUUCCAAUUGGAGGUGUUUUACAGGCUUAUUGACAUUUUCCUUGACUAAAGUAAUUAUGUGAUUAUCAUAUGUUUUGUGAUCACCAUGAAUAACAAAUUCAAGUUUACAUCAUCUUUGGCAAGUGCAAGUUUUUGAUGUAAAAUAUAACUUUCAUGCGUUUACGAUAGCGAAACUAUUUACAUUGUUAAUUUGAAUAGUUGUGGAUUUGAUUAUAAUCCAAGAACAUACUAUCUAAAUUUCGAAUACUUGAGAUUUUUUAUGCUAUAGAAUGCAGAAAGCAAUAGGUUUCUGUAACAUUUGAGAUUUUAUUCAUUGUGAUUUUGCUAUAUU